ACGCUCGACACCUACGGGAGGCAGCAGUGGGGAAUAUUGCACAAUGGGGGAAACCCUGAUGCAGCAACGCCGCGUGAGUGAAGAAGUAUUUCGGUAUGUAAAGCUCUAUCAGCAGGGAAGAUAAUGACGGUACCUGACUAAGAAGCUCCGGCUAAAUACGUGCUAGCAGCCGCGGUAAUCUGAGCGGGCUGGCAAGGC
rnacentral:rRNA from 1 species